ensembl:lncRNA
GUUUUUCUUCCUUAAUCCUGUCAGUCUUCUGCCUCUGGGCCUCUGAUGCUCAAUAGAGCCCCACUUAUUACCACACCAGGGAACAACAAAGAGACAAAGCAGAAAAGUAAACAUGAGGGGCCGCAGGGUUUCUGUGUCUCCCUGCUCGAAAGCAGGAGAAGAAAGUCAGACGACAGUGAGGAAGGGAUGGGAGCACAGGAGAGGGAGGAGGAAGACUGCGCUUCUUCAGUGGGGAGAAAGCUGCACAAAACCAGCAAGGAGGUUUAUUUCAGCGUCCUGCCAGAUAAAUAUGAACCUCUGAUUGAGGACGAUGAGGAGAGAGAGGAGACUGCAGAGGAGAAAAAGAGGAGGAAGGAGGCGAGGAAGAAGAAAAGGAAAAAUACAUGCAAGAAGUACAGGAAGAAUGUGGGGAAAGCGCUACGCUUCAGCUGGCGCUGCCUGGUAGCUGGUCUGCAGAGCAUGGCGUCCGUGUACUCCACACCUCUCUCAGCUGUGGCCACCGUGGUAACAGAUGUUCACCAAGCCAGUGGCAGCAAGACAUGAUGGGACUCGGAGGAACCAGGAGUGUAGCCCCUUAUUCCUUGUGUUCAAGCUGACUUUGAAUUCAUCACCUCUGUUGUGCCUGUUUUGUUUUUAUUCUAUUUUUAUUUCUAUUUCUGAGAUAUAUACUAUAUAUUUACUCGAUUUAUGAAAACCAUUGAUCCCUGUCACAUUUAUGGCCUCGGUUUUCAAAUUUGAACCGAACCCUGCUGUUGUGUUAAAUUAAACAAUCGUCUUUCAUGUUUGGGGUAAAACUGAACCCUAAAAUUCACCUCAAGUAGAAACCUAACCCUAACCCCAGAACACUUUGGGUUUAUUUACUGUCUUAAGAAGCUUUCUGUUCCGUGUGGGCUUUGGCAGCCACUGGCAACCCAACAACUAGCAAUGUCUGUGUACAAAUCUCAGCCACAAGGAGGCUCCACCUUGUGGCGCUUCUCCACAACUGCACUUUAGAAGCUCAUUGACAGAGAUAAAUUUUUGAGGUCCUGGAGCACUAAACGGAUAUAUUCGUCCAGUCAACCAACCAUACUUGGAUAAAGUAAAGAUGUUCUAGUAGGAAGCUGACGCACUCCUCUCCUUUCUGCUCUUUAUGUUUUUAUGAAGGUUAGGAGAGUCAGUAAAUGCUGUUAAAAUAAUCAGAAUAAAUAAAAAAAUACUAAUUUGUCUUUCAUGAUGUUUGUUUACAUAAUCAAAGGUCAGGUACUUUUUGUGCAUUUCACAAGUGCUUAUUGAAAAAUAAAUGUAAAUAUGAC